CAACAUAAGGAACUAAUUUCUUUAUAGUUAGAGGGAAAUUUGAAACCAUGAUUAUACUUGCAAUAUGAAUUGAUUACUUUCAAUUGCGAUUUGAUAAAUUGUGAAUGCAAUUCGCUUAACUGUUUUACUCAAAACUUAUUCUUGUAUGUUGAUUAAGGUGGCCAACUAGGUUUGCAUGCAUGAAUUUGAUGCUAGAAUAUAAGGGAUUUUCACCUAAUCGUUAUGAACUUAUAUUCACAAGUAGUGAAGGUUGCUUGUCACAAUCGUGUUAAGUGAAUUCUUGGCAUAAGUUUCAUGCAAUUCAUAGUUACAAGUGCCUCGUCAAUGCUUAUGAUUUUCAUAGAACUUAAUGAUCUUUGCUUGUAUCUCUAUUAUGCAAUUCAUGUAGGGAACUUGUGGAGAAUAAUUUGGGUUGUUGUAUGCAAUCAUCCAAUUCAAUGAAAUUAGGAAAAUUUGAGGGUUAAUUAGUGCAAUUCACGGUUAAUCUGGGGCGUUGAGGUUCAUGGUUUAUUGAAAAGCAAUUGGAGAUUGAUUUUUAUGCAAGUGUGUCAUGUGUGGAGAAGGACCUUCUAGCUAGACCAUCACGCAUCCAAUUU
rnacentral:lncRNA from 1 species